GCUGUCCUCAGCUUCAACAUGAGUGUCACUUGAAGAAACCUGUCAAGAAAACCAGUUUGGCUAGUUGAUGUUCAGGGCUUGCAAAAAGUGCCAUCCAGUCAUCUGGGACAAGCACUAGUAAUGUUUCAUUCUAACUUGCACAAUGAGCAAGGGCCCAAGCAAGUCACCUUGAAACAUUACGAAAUGAGUCAGCUAAGAACUAAGACUUGCCCAGGCAUCGAGUGGAUCCUCUGGGUUUGGUUCUGCCAUCAGAAGUUGGAUCGAUGUCAGCACAGUUGAAAUGUUC